CUACGGGAUGCUCCAGUGAGGAAUCUUGCGCAAUGGGGGAAACCCUGACGCAGCGACGCCGCGUGGGUGAUGAAGGCCUUCGGGUCGUAAAGCCCUGUCGAGAGGGAAGAAUUGCAUUUAGGUUAAUAGCCUAAUUGUUUGACGGUACCUCCAAAGGAAGCACCGGCUAACUCCGUGCCAGCAGCCGCGGUAAUACGGAGGGUGCAAGCGUUGUUCGGAAUCACUGGGCGUAAAGGGCGUGUAGGCGGCUGAGUAAGUCAGGUGUGAAAUCCCUCGGCUCAACCGAGGAAGUGCAUUUGAUACUGCUCAUCUUGAGUACUGGAGAGGGGGAUGGAAUUCCCGGUGUAGAGGUGAAAUUCGUAGAUAUCGGGAGGAACACCAGUGGCGAAGGCGAUCUCCUGGACAGAUACUGACGCUAAGGCGCGAAAGCGUGGGGAGCAAACAGGAUUAGAUACCCCCGUAGUC
rnacentral:rRNA from 1 species